GAAGGAAGCCCGGGAGUGAGAGAAAGCGGCUCCGGGGACAUAGCGGGCCAGUAAGGGCCGCUCCUCUUUUGAAGAGGUUUUGCGUCUCUUUCCGCCGGUGGCGUCGGCGCUCACGCAGGGGCGGGUCCCGGUAGCGCGAGGCGGUGCAGGGCGGGAAGGGGAUUCGUGGCGGCGGCGGCGGCAGGGACAACAGCGACGGCGGCGGCAGGGACAGCAGGAGCAGUGGUGCUGUCAGCGCGGCGGUCGGAGACAUGGGAGACCCGGGGUCGGAGAUAAUAGAAUCUGUCCCUCCAGCUGGCCCUGAGGCAUCUGAGUCAACAACGGAUGAAAAUGAAGACGACAUUCAGUUUGUCAGUGAAGGACCAUUACGACCUGUUCUUGAAUACAUUGAUCUGGUCAGCAGUGAUGAUGAAGAGCCUAGCACCUCUUAUACUGAUGUGCCCUAUACAACAGGAUUCUUUUGUUCCAGAACCACAUGACCACAGAAAAUUUGUUUUCUCUUAGAAAAAAGGAUAUGUAGAGAUCCUUUUAGGAAUGGAAAGUGGGGGAAGGGUUUAUAGGGGAUAUAUUACUUCAGUCAUCAUCCCUUUAACCUUGUCUGUGCCCCACAUAUUUGGAGUUAUUUAUCUUACCUGUGAUGUACUGGUUGUAGGUUUGACCCUUGGACCAAUACUUCCCUUGCUCUGUGAAUUGAACUAGUUGAGCCCUUUGUAACAGUCUUGCCUUUCAUUUGUCCUUGCUUUAGCCCAAACUUCUGUUAAUGAGCUGUUUUCAUCUUGGAUUAGAAAACUCUUAGUUAUUGUUCAGAGUGGCCACAAACUUCUUGCUCUGUGAUAUAGGGGAUUGAGACUUGGACUUGGAAUCAGAAUACCUGGGUUUGAGUCCCAGCUUUACUCUUUACAAAUUCUGUGACUUUGGAUAAAUUAAGUAACCUUUUACCCUCCGUUUUUUAAUCAAAUAAUACCUACCUCACAGGGUUGUUGUGAGGAUGAAAUGAGGUAACAAAUUAUAACUUCUUAUAACUACAAACCAUAAAGUAGGACUAUACAAGUGGGAAGUUUUGUUAUUUGUGGACAGUGAAUGACAGAAUUUUCAGAGGUGCCUAAAAUGACUCUAAUGGGGGAGUUUUAGAUUUUUUUUUCUUCUCAGUGGAACUUUCCUUAAGUUCUCUUUGCCAUCAUUAGCUUCUUGCAUAUCUUGAGUAGAACUUAACAUAUCUUGAAUGGGAUAUUUUUUUCUUUUAUUCUUAUGAGUGGUCUCACACAGGACCAAACAGCAGGCCAGCAUAGCACCACGUGAUCUGAGCUUGUGUUUACUCUCUCCUUUUUCAUAAACAGAGUUCCAGAUUAAGGCCAGUAGUUGAUUUUGGGUCUUUGGGGUAGUGAAGCUUGUGGAUUUGACUUCUCUGAUUCCUUUUGCUGACCUUGAGUGGAUUGUAUCUUUCACUGUUAAUUAUAAUAAUUUAAAAAUUGAGUUCUACUUACUGGACAUGAAUCUCUGCACUUGAAAGUUAACAUAUUAAAAGCAUAUUUUUUUUCUUCCUUGGUUUUCUUGUUCAUGUGGAUAACCCAGAGAAUGCCUGAAUCUAAGGUGCCAUCCUCUGAGAAUCAUCGCCCAGAAAUGUGCUCUAGCUGCAAUGUUCCUCUUCCCAUUGGAGAUAGCAGCUCCUUCUCUGGGAGUUGUUCCAGCAGUCCAGAAAGGAUAGUUUCUCAAACUUCCUCUGUUGAGAACCCAUUGGAGAACCAGAAAAAUGAUCAAAAUAAUUCAGAUACUAAGAUCUCUGAGACAGAGACCCUUAAAUCAUCACAGAAUUUUCAGACUCUGCCUUCAUCUCCACUUCUGGUCCCCCAAGAAUCUUUGGCCUCUUCUGAGGUCAAAGAGAAUUUACGUAUAGAUUCUUCUUCAGCUUCACAGCAUGGACGGGAUGCCAUCCUCUAUCUCCAGACACAAGUAGCUGAAAUGUCCCGAGUGAUACGUGAUCUGCAGUCCAGGAGCUGUUUUAGAUUUCAUCAUUCUAGGCCAAGUGAGAACUCCUCAGUUCCUUGGGACAUCUCCACUUCUAAAGAGGAAAAUUUAUCCACAGUUGAAGAAGAAACUGAUUACAAAUCACCAUCAGCUGAUGACAAAGGGCAGCCAUCUGACCCCAGCCAAUCUAGUUUCACAGGUCUUUUGAAGAGAAUGGAACAAAGAGGUGUUAUAAAAAGGGUGACAUUGCAAUCUGAAGUGGAGUCAUGUGAAGGGAAACCUGAUUGUGUGACUUCUAAAAAACGUUUGGUUCCUCCAUUGCAUCCUCUUCUGAGAAUUGCCACCACUGAGGUUUUUAAAGACCCUGCUGAUUGCCAUCCUUCUUCCUUCAUGGGACACAGGGUAUAUCCUGUGGCCAAGGACACCUCUCCUUUCCAACCAAACCCACCAGCUGAAGGCCCCAUUGUAGAAGCAUUAGAACACAGCAAAAGAGGAAACACAGCAUCCCCUCUAGAUUCUACCUCAAAAGAAAUGGAGGUCAUGGGUUGUAGGUUUUACCACGCAGCCUCCAUUGCAGCCCGAGCUGCUAGCUACAUGGCCUAUAUGACUCAAUAUCAGCGUAAACUCUGGGAAGACAUGGAAGAUCUGGUUCAUGACCCAGAGUUUGAUCGUGGAAAAGCAAGAUGCAUAAUAUCUGAUGGUAUGGAUGCAGGCCUUUGGCAACUUUGUACUACUAGGGACAUAAUGGACUCUGUAGUCAGAGUUAUGGCCAUGGCCAUAGACUAUAGAAGGCAGGCCUGGCUUCGACUUACAUCUCUCACUAAGAAAACCCAGGAGAAGAUCUCCCACUUGCCCUUUGAUGGUACUUCCCUUUUUGGACAAGAUGUGAAAGCUGUUGUUGCAGAAGACAACAGCAUAAAAGAAAAUGACUAUAAAGAUCACAAAUACUAUAAUCAGCAUCGAUACUUUUAUAGUCAUGAUCAGAAAGCACAUUAUCACAAUAGAGGAUACUCCAAAGGGGAUUGGUACAAACCUCGAAACCACCCCUAUAGAUAUAGAAAGAAGGGAGACUCUCCAGAACGCCAUGGAUACAAGAAUUAAUAACCUGUUUAAUGUUCAGCAGAAUAGUCAUUCAAGAUCCUAACUAUUUUACUUGUUCCUCCUUGUACAAAUAGGAUCUACAGGUAGGAGAUCAUCUCAAAAACUGAAUGCAUGUCUGGAAUGAUCACAGCUGACAUUUGAAUUCUAGACUUUUGAAAUGAAGUAUAUAAUAAAGAAACUCAUGACUUAUUGGCCAAGUGAGCAGUGGAGACUUUCUUGAAAGGGUUGGACAAAUGUUUAUCCUUUAUUUCUGGUCCAAAAAUAAGUGUGGAGGAGGACCACUCAGGAAUCUGAAUCCUCUUGUGAUUAAAGAAAAAUAUAAAGAUGUGUUCCUCAGGAAAAUCUUAUUUGUAAACUGAGGACUAGCAGAUUUUGAAUCUAGAAAUAAUACUAGAUGUCUGUUUACUAAGACCAGAGGUAAAUCCUUAACUUUUAGGUUAUCAGUGCUUCCUUGUUCAGGCUUCAGUUUGACAGAUCUUCACAAAAUGACACAUCUGUUAAAAUGUCUUUAUGUCAAGAUGGUCAACUCACCAAGAGUUCAUACUACUGUCAAGCUCUGUGAGACUUCAGAAUCAGCCAUGAAGCUUUGUGUCAACUGGAAUUCAAAUCAAAUUUUGCCAAAUACAGUUUGCUUCCCCUUGGAAUGGCUAGAUGUCGCAGGUCUAUUAUGGACACCAACUGGAAAAAGACUUCUACCUGUAACAUCUCUGUAGAAAUUGCACAGUAACUAUCUUCAUCAAGACUUUGAUGGCCACCAUACCAUCACUACUCAUAAAGCUACAUGAGAAUAUUAAACGUAAAGACCAUAUUGAUCAUCAGAAGGAUAAAGUUGCUUUAACUCUGGCUCGUCUAGCCCGCCAUGUGGAAGUGGAGAAACAGCAGAAAGAAGAGAAGAAUAGAGCAUUCAGAGAAAAAAUUGAUUUUCAGCAUGCUCAUGGGUUACAAGAAUUGGAAUUUAUUCGAGGACAUUCUGAUACAGAAGCAGCAAGACUGUGUGUGGACCAGUGGCUAAAAAUGCCAGGACUCAAAACAGGCACAAUUAAUUGUGGAACAAAAAGUUCACUCCGAAGAGGAGGCCACACGUGGGUGUCUGGGAAACCAAUUUUAUGUCCUAUAAUGCACUGUAACAAGGAGUUUGACAAUGGGCACCUUCUCUUAGGACAUUUGAAAAGGUUCGAUCACUCUCCAUGUGAUCCAACAAUUACACUACAUGGACCUUUCUUCAGCUCCUUUGCUUGUGUAGUAUGUUAUAAAAAAUUUGUUACUCAACAACAAUAUAGAGAUCACCUUUUUGAUAAGGAAGCCACAGAUGAUGGACAUAACAACAACCUUCUUCCUCAGAUUAUUCAGUGUUUUGCAUGUCCAAAUUGCUUCCUUCUUUUUAGCAGAAAGGAGGAGUGUUCAAAGCAUAUGUCUGGAAAGAAUCAUUUCCAUCAGAGUUUCAAACUGGGUGAUAACAAAGGAAUUGCACAUCCAAUAUCUUUCCCAUCUUUUGCAAAGAAACUUUUGAUCUCUCUGUGCAAAGAUGUUCCCUUUCAAGUUAAGUGUGUGGCCUGCCACAAGACACUGCGUUCCCACAUGGAGCUCACUGCCCAUUUCAGAGUUCGUUGUCGAAAUGCUGGACCUGUAGCUGUAGCUGAGAAGAGCAUUACCCAGGUUGCAGAGAAAUUCAUAUUAAGAGGUUAUUGUCCAGAUUGCAAUCAAGUCUUUGUGGAUGAAACCAGCACCCAAAAUCAUAAGCAGAAUUCAGGACACAAAGUCCGAGUCAUUAACUCAGUGGAAGAAUCAGUCUUACUCUAUUGCCACAGCAGCGAAGGGAACAAGGAUCCUUCUUCUGACUUGCAUUUAUUGUUGGAUCAAUCAAAAUUUUCAUCACUUAAAAGAACCAUGUCUAUUAAAGAAUCUAGCUCACUGGAGUGCAUUGCCAUUCCAAAAAAGAAGAUGAAUUUAAAAGAUAAAAGCCAUGAAGGUGUUGCUUGUGUCCAGAAAGAAAAAUCAGUAGUUAAAACCUGGUUCUGUGAAUGCAAUCAGCGAUUCCCAAGUGAAGAUGCAGUAGAAAAGCAUGUUUUCUCAGCAAACACAAUGGGUUAUAAAUGUGUGGUCUGUGGAAAGGUAUGUGAUGAUUCAGGGGUCAUUCGUUUACACAUGAGCCGGAUUCACGGAGGGGCACAUUUAAAUAACUUUCUUUUCUGGUGUCGGACAUGCAAAAAGGAGUUAACAAGGAAAGAUACUAUCAUGGCACAUGUGACUGAAUUUCAUAAUGGACACAGAUAUUUUUAUGAGAUGGAUGAGGUAGAAGGUGAAACUUUGCCAUCAUCCUCUACAACAUUGGAUAAUUUGAUUGCUAACAAGCCUUCAUCAGCUAUUACUGUUACUGAUCAUUCCCCGGCAAAUAGUUCUCCAAGGGGUAAAUGGCAAUGCCGGAUUUGUGAAGAUAUGUUUGAUUCCCAGGAAUAUGUAAAACAGCACUGCAUGUCUUUGGCAAGCCACAAGUUUCAUAGAUACAGCUGUGCUCACUGCAGAAAGCCUUUUCAUAAGAUAGAAACAUUGUACCGACAUUGCCAAGAUGAGCAUGACAAUGAGAUAAAGAUUAAAUACUUCUGUGGGCUUUGUGAUCUUAUCUUUAAUGUGGAAGAAGCAUUUUUGAGUCAUUAUGAGGAGCACCACAGCAUAGAUUAUGUAUUUGUGUCAGAAAAAACUGAAACUUCAAUUAAAACCGAAGAUGAUUUUCCAGUAAUAGAGACCAGUAACCAGUUAACUUGUGGUUGCCGUGAGAGUUACAUCUGUAAAGUCAACAGAAAAGAAGAUUAUAGCAGAUGUCUCCAGAUCAUGCUGGAUAAAGGAAAACUGUGGUUUCGCUGCAGUUUAUGUUCGGCAACAGCACAGAAUUUAACCGACAUGAACACUCAUAUCCAUCAAGUGCACAAAGAAAAGAGUGAUGAGGAGGAGCAGCAGUAUGUAAUCAAGUGUGGCACCUGCACCAAAGCAUUUCAUGAUCCUGAGAGUGCACAGCAGCAUUUCCAUAGAAAACAUUGCUUCUUACAGAAACCCAGUGUGGCUCAUUUUGGAUCUGAAAAAUCAAACCUGUCCAAGUUUACUGCCAGUGCCUCACAUACAGAGAGAAAACUGAAACAGGCAAUAAACUAUUCAAAAAGUUUAGACAUGGAGAAAGGAGUUGAGAAUGACCUAAGCUAUCAGAAUAUAGAGGAAGAAAUUGUUGAGCUUCCAGAUUUGGAUUACCUGCGAACCAUGACUCAUAUAGUCUUUGUAGAUUUUGAUAACUGGUCCAACUUUUUUGGUCAUCUACCAGGGCAUCUAAACCAAGGAACAUUUAUUUGGGGCUUUCAAGGAGGAAACACCAAUUGGAAGCCUCCGCUCAACUGUAAGAUUUAUAAUUACCUGAACAGGAUUGGAUGCUUCUUCCUUCAUCCUCGCUGUAGUAAAAGAAAAGAUGCUGCUGAUUUUGCCAUAUGUAUGCAUGCUGGCCGUCUAGAUGAACAACUACCCAAGCAAAUUCCUUUCACCAUCCUCUCAGGAGAUCAAGGUUUUCUGGAGCUAGAGAAUCAAUUUAAGAAGACUCAGAGGCCAGCUCAUAUACUAAACCCUCACCACUUAGAGGGAGAUAUGAUGUGUGCUUUGUUAAAUAGCAUAUCUGAUACCACCAAAGGUACGCAGCUGCAGUCACAGUGCAAACCACCCAAGAGGAGGAGACUUCACUGCUGAGAGAAACCAAUAAACUGCUGUCCGCUAGUGAACUGUUGCCUGCUUGCUAAACCAUCAUGUUCUCUUACUUCUAUCUUACUUAUCUUUUUAAAAAAAAUCUCACUUUCAUUCUUUAGUGUUUUAGAAGGAGGAUGAAUUCAUAAUAAUUUUCUGGAGCUUUUUUUGAUCUAGUAGAUAAAAUCUAUAUUGAUGUAUAUAAAACAUAUAUUCAUGUGUUAUAGUAUGUUACUACAAUUUUAAAAGCUCAGAAUUCAGAUCUUCACUUUGUUUCUGAAAUUCCAAAUUGACCUUCAGUUUUUAGCAGUGCGCUUAGAGGUGAAAACCAGAAAGCAAUAACAAAGGUGAUCAUUUAAGAGGUUGACAGUGACAAAAUAAAACGCUGAUAGGCUUUUAGGUCCUUAGAGAAGUGGGUACAUCCUAUCUUAUUGCUGGGACUUGCACUUUCUUCUGUACCUUUGUGAGAUUGUUCAAUGAAAGGAGUGCUGAUACCCAAUUUCACUUCCUAGUAUAUAAGAAAAGAUGUAAUUCUAAGGAUUCAGAAGUUUUGUUUUUCGUUUUUCAUAAUUUCUGCAGUCAAAUGCUCUACCACUGAGUUAUACCCCCCUUUUUCAUAAUCUCUGAAGUAAAGAAAUAUGGCUAGAAUAAUUAAUGUUUAAAUAUCCUAAUAAUUUAAAUUCAUGAAUAAGGUUUGAAGAUAUUAAUGAAUUACCUUAAUGAAAAAUAGUGGCUUUUUGGCAUUUUUAUUGUGUGCCUUUAAAGCUUUCAAGUCUGCUUGCCUCCUAGAUUUUUUUUUUCUUUCACUAUAUUUGGAAGCACAUUUUGAUUGAAAACUCAUUCUGGAGAAUUUUGCUGUAAUCACUGAUUACAGUGGAUCAAUUCACUUCUGCAAAGUUAGGAAUCAGUAAUCUGUGCUCUUUAUACUCUUUAAAGUGGAGUAAUGAUGGAAGAUUAUAAAAGAAAAUGAACUCUUGUGUCUUUAUGUCAUGCCUUAGUUCUGAGUAUUAUCUUCCUAUUCUGUAAUUUUUGUUUUCACUUGUUUUUCUAUCUGUGGCUUUCUUUUUUCUUAAAAAAAAAACAACAAAAAAAAACAGGCUGGGUGCAGUGGCUCACACCUGUAAUCCCAGCACUUUGGGAGGCUGAGGCGGGUGGAUCACCUGAGGUCAGAAGUUCAAGACCAGCCUGGUCAACAUGGUGAAAACCCAUCUCUACUAAAUAUACAAAAAUUAGCUGGGCAUGGUGGCGGUUGCCUGUAAUCCCAGCUACUCGGGAGGCUGAGGCAGGAGAAUCGCUUGAACCCAGGAGGCAGAGGUUGCAGUGAGCUGAGAUUGCACCAUUGCGCUCCAGCCUGGGCAAUAAGAGCAAAAACUUCGUCUCAAACAAAAAGCAAAACACCUCUUCUACUCUUUUGCUAUCGCUUUCCCAGUCCUCAACAUCUACUUAAUAUCCUAUAAGAUAAAGUUUUACCUUUGCCACACAAGGCCAACCUCCCUUUCCUUCUCUUAUGCUUCUGCUUUUGGGAACAUUUCUUUUAUAACUCCAAAUGUGAAACCUGUUAUGGUUUUGCAGAGGCAAAACCAUAUUCUGUUUGGAAUGAGAGGUGAAUACGAGUAGACUUGCAUGGGUAUAUUACGGUUGGAGGUAAGAUACAGGUUAUUAGUAUCUGCUGAUUAUGCCCUUCCAAAUGACUCUUAUGUUCUAGGUAUUCUUUUUUUUUUUUUUUUUAAUCACCCAUACUCAGUAGUCAUUUGAACUAACUACUCUCUGGAGGCACAUGUGUACUUUAUUCUUAGUUUUUGUGACAUAUAGAGAUUGUGCACUGCAUGAAGAAGGAUAUGGGCUUUGGUUCAAAUGCUAACUUUGCUGUUUCCUAGCAGCGCGAUUUCAGGCAUGUUACUUAACUUUUUUGGAGCCUCACUUUUUUGUAUUUAUAUGGUUGUAAUAGUGAUGUAUGUAAAGUGUCUAGCACAGUAUAUAAAGCACUUUAGCUAUUUAACAAAUAAUAGCUAUUUUUUAUUAUUACUACCAUAAAAAGAAAAUGUGAUUCCUAGCCACUACAUUUUUAAUGUUACACUGAAUCAUAGUAUGUUCAGGCUUAGUUAUCUGAUUUAAGACCAAAUUUUUUCUUCAUGGAAGACUUAAAACCAUCAAAUUUCCUGUAGUGAACUUUAUAAGGAAUCAAAGAAAAAUCAUUUUCUUGGAUAACUUUUAUUCCAUUUCCUUUCCUAACAAAUAGCUUUGUGAAUAGUUGAGUAAUAGUUUCUAUUAAGGAAUGGUAUUUAAUGUAUAAUGGGACUCAAUAAAUCUCUCAAUGUCCAUUAAUAAUAUAAUUUUUGUUACUAAAGAAUGCCAGAUAACUCCUUGCACAUAGCUAAACAUGGUGUUCCUUCUUGUUUUCAGAUUUGACAGCCAGUCAGUUUCUUAAGGCAAUGUGGUUUUUGGGGUGAAGGGGUCACUGGACCUUUUUGAGAAUCUGAUGAAAACUUUCUAUACCCUCCAUCCCCCAAAAUAAACAUGUAUGUACUACAUUGCAUACAAUUUCAAGGGAUUUGUGGUCUCAACGCUUCUAGAUGCCAGUCAACAAACAAAAUUGUCCUUUGGGAUGUAACCUAAGUUUAUACUAUAAGUCAACAGUCCCCAACCAUUUUGGCACCAGGGACUGGUUUCAUGGAAGACAAUUUUUCCAUGGAUUGGGGGCAGGAGGUGGGGCAUUAGAUUCUCAUAAGGAGUGUACAACCUAGAUCCCUUGUACGUGCAGUUCACAAUAGGGUUUGUGCUAUGAGAAUCUAACGCCGCUGCUGAUCUGACAGGAGGAGGAGCUUAGGUGGUAAUGCUGGCUCACCUGCUGCUCACCUCCUGCUGUGCAGCCCAGUUCCUAACAGGCCACAGACUGGUACUGGUCCAUGGCCCUGGGGUUGGGGACUCCUGCUAUAAGUAACAUACAGUGAUAAGUUCUUUCAUAUUUGUUAUUAUAUAGCCAGGCUAGUGAUUUUUCAGAUUUUUGAAUUUUUCACCAGAGCAUAGAGAAGUUGAUACAAGUUUGAGUCUCUUAUUCUUUAUAAGUUUUCAGAAAUUUACCAUCAGCAGGACUAAAAAGUGGUUUUUAUUAGACUAAAGAUUGCUGUAUAAAUAGGAUCUUUUGAAUAUUGUUAUCAGAAUCGAUCAUAUGGUAUCAUACUAGGAGAAAUUAGUCUUUGCUAAUUUCUCUGUUAAUUGAAAGUCUUUCCAGAGGUACUUAUUUCAGUAAAAAUACAGAUAUUUGGAGUUCCUGGUUCUGUAUAUCGGUGUCCAGUCAUUUGUUCCUAAGGCAUUGUUUUAGCAUGGUGGGGAGGGGAAAGGUUAAGUAGCUUUAUUACUGGUACAUUUUUAGAUCUCUGACUUGGUUAGUUAGGGUAAAAGUUCUUUUCUCUACUUGUAAGCAUCAGGGUUUCAACAUGAACAUUUUAAUUACGCUAUGAUAUAUGUAUAAAUUCUUGUAGAGACAUUUAAAAAGUCUAUUAACUUUAAUUUCUGCCCCACCUUGGUCUUCUUAUCCUUCAUCAUUUCUAUUUUAUAUUGUAGUUAUCCUCACUUUCUUAACACUUAAGAUACAUGGAUCCUUUCUGGGAAUCCCAAUCAGAGAAGCCAGAAUGUGACAGUGAUGAUAACAUGGGUGCCAAAAGUACUUCAAUAGGAGAAGAAUUUAUAUCCACAGAAGAUGUGGAAUUAGAAGAAGCUAUUAGAAGAAGUCUUGAGGAAAUGUAAUUAAAGAUAUUACCACACAACAUCAAGUGGCCUUGAAGAGACUCAGAUAAUGAAUUCUUGAGUUUGUUUUCUAAAGGAGACCAGAAAUCCACUAUUACAAAUGUAUUUGAAAACAUGUUUUUGCUUUCAUAUGUUCAAAAUCUGAUCUUUGUUUUGUAUUUUUGUGCUAAUGUGCAAACAUGUACAGAAGAAAUAGAAUACAUGUUCAUGCAAAUAUAAAUUAUGUAUUCUAAUAUAGGUGUAACAGUUUCCCAGUUAACUUUGAAUUUAUAUAUUUAGAUUUAAAGGGUUAAAAAAAAGGAAAGCUCUUGACAGUUGUUUCCCAAAUAGCAUUAGUUCUUUAAUUUUAUUUGUACUGUACAAAUGAUGCUAGUUUAUUUUUUUAGGAGUGAAAAUGAAUAUAAAAAAGGUGACAUAGGUCAAGUUUUCCAUAAAUUCUACUUCUCAUGUGGCACUAUUAUAUAAUACCUUUGAGAUCUUUGUUUAUGUUUAUUAGAAGAGGGUAAUGGAAACUGAGCAUGGAAACAUUUAAAAUUUUAUCAGCAAUGUUCUUUGUGGGUGCCAUGCAUAUGUAAAUUAUUGCUUUAAUUAGAGCAGCACAUUGCUAAAAUAAAAAAUACACCUUAAUUUUUGAGAAAUAAUUUAAAUGAAACAAUUUCCAUUCCUUUUACCUGCUUAGACUUUUAUGUGACUUGUAUGGUCUCCUGGUUAAAGGGAAUGGUGUCAGAAUAUUUGCAUAAAAUUAUUUUUCAUAACAGUCCUUUUUUAUAUAUUUGUGUAAACAUAAUAUUCUUCAAGAAAUAAUGUUGAAAGCCUACUCAGGAAUAAUCUUCCUUAACUCUUUAAAUUUUUAUUUCAUGUGAAGUGUUUUCAGUUUAGUUAUUCACUGAAUUGUCAGUUUCCUUCAUUUGGUAUUACAUAUUUAAUUCUUAAAUAUUGAGGCCCCAUUGUGAGUAAUAAAAAAUACGACAUAAGUAGAAGACUAAGAAGGGCUUGUCAUAUUAUCUUUGUGUAUAUGCUUCAUGUUAUUUAACCAGAAAUGUCUUAUCUCUAAAAAUUUUUAGUAGUAAUUAUUUACCAAACUUAAAAACAUUUCUAUAAAUAUAAAGCUUUUCUUUAUAUUUAAGACAAAAUAUAAAGGCUAGAAUUUUGUUCCUUCUCUGUAACACUAAAUAUUUUAGUGUGAAAUUGAAUUUUUUUAUUACUAUAGUCUUUUCAAUCUAUAAUUUGUGUUUUUAAUUUCUUGAUAUGUCACUUCUGUUCCUCCCUGCUUGCAUUUUUUAAAAACUAGACAUUGUGGCUUGAGAAUUUAUCAAUCAUCUUUCCAAAAUGACCACAUUGUGCUUUUAGUUUGUAUGUUUAAGUGGUCAAGCAAGGCUCUAGGAGGUAGUCACUGAGCUGGACCUUAAACACAUCUGCAGGAGCUCACAAAAUAGGAGCAAAAGAGGCAUUCCAGAAAGAAGAGUAGUUAAGCAGAUGUGGGGGCAGGGCAAGAGGAGACAGCACCUUGUUGCCAGAGAUUCUACACAAAGGUGUGAUGGACACUGAUGCUCUAUUAAGAAGCUUUUGUGGUGUGUGUGGUAGAGAAUAAUUAAGGCUUCUGAUAAGACAGGAAAGGGAUAUUUCAUCAUGACUGUUAAGAAAAGGUAACUGGGUUGUUUAAUGUUUUAAUUGAUAAUUGUCACUGAUUGUAUUUCUACUUGUUAAAUAAUUAAAAAUCAUCUUAAAAUUCA